rnacentral:rRNA from 1 species
CAGUCGCCGCGGUAAUACGAAGGGUGCAAGCGUUAAUCGGAAUUACUGGGCGUAAAGCGUGCGUAGGCGGUUUGUUAAGUCUGUUGUGAAAUCCCCGGGCUCAACCUGGGAAUGGCAAUGGAUACUGGCAAGCUAGAGUGUGUCAGAGGAUGGUGGAAUUCCCGGUGUAGCGGUGAAAUGCGUAGAGAUCGGGAGGAACAUCAGUGGCGAAGGCGGCCAUCUGGGACAACACUGACGCUGAGGCACGAAAGCGUGGGGAGCAAACAGGAUUAGAUACCCCUGUAGUCCCUGUCUCUUAUAC